UACGUAGGAGGCAAGCGUUGUCCGGAAUUACUGGGCGUAAAGCGCGUGUAGGUGGUGGGACAAGUCUGCUGUGAAAGCGCGGGGCUCAACCCUGCGUCGGCCAUGAAUACUGCCGCGGCUGGAGCACUGUAGAGGCAGGCGGAAUUCCGGGGUGUAGCGGUGGAAUGCGUAGAGAUCCGGAAGAACACCGGUGGCGAAGGCGGCCUGCUGGGCAGUUGCUGGACACUGAGGCGCGACAGCGUGGGGAGCAAACAGG
rnacentral:rRNA from 1 species